UGGGGGAAUUUUGGACAAUGGGCGAAAGCCUGAUCCAGCAAUGCCGCGUGUGUGAAGAAGGCCUUCGGGUUGUAAAGCACUUUUGUCCGGAAAGAAAUCCUUGGCUCUAAUACAGUCGGGGGAUGACGGUACCGGAAGAAUAAGCACCGGCUAACUACGUGCCAGCAGCCGCGGUAAUACGUAGGGUGCAAGCGUUAAUCGGAAUUACUGGGCGUAAAGCGUGCGCAGGCGGUUUGCUAAGACCGAUGUGAAAUCCCCGGGCUCAACCUGGGAACUGCAUUGGUGACUGGCAGGCUAGAGUAUGGCAGAGGGGGGUAGAAUUCCACGUGUAGCAGUGAAAUGCGUAGAGAUGUGGAGGAAUACCGAUGGCGAAGGCAGCCCCCCUGGGCCAAUACUGACGCUCAUGCACGAAAGCGUGGGGAGCAAACAGGAUUAGAUACCCUGGUAGUCCACGCCCUAAACGAUGUCAACUAGUUGUUGGGGACUUCAUUUCCUUAGUAACGUAGCUAACGCGUGAAGUUGACCGCCUGGGGAGUACGGUCGCAAGAUU
rnacentral:rRNA from 1 species